UACGGAGGGUGCAAGCGUUAUCCGGAUUCACUGGGUUUAAAGGGUGCGUAGGUGGGUUGUAAGUCUAGUGAUGAAUCUCCAGUUAACUUGGAAACUGCCAUUGAUACUAUCAAUCUUGAAUACCUGGAGAGUGAGCGGAAUAUGUCAUAUAGCGGUGAAAUGCUUAGAUAUGGCAUAGAACACCAAUUGCGAAGGCAGCUCGUUACACGAAUAUUGACACUGAUGCACGAAAGCGUGGGGAUCAAACAGG
rnacentral:rRNA from 1 species